rnacentral:rRNA from 1 species
CCUACGGGGUGCAGCAGUGGGGAAUAUUGUACAAUGGGGGAAACCCUGAUGCAGCGACGCCGCGUGAGUGAAGAAGUAUUUCGGUAUGUAAAGCUCUAUCAGCAGGGAAGAAAUAGCGACCUUUGGGUCGCCAGACGGUACCUGAUUAAGAAGCCCCGGCUAACUACGUGCCAGCAGCCGCGGUAAUACGGAGGGGGCAAGCGUUAUCCGGAUGUACUGGGUGUAAAGGGAGCGUAGACGGCAGCGCAAGUCUGAAGUGAAAUGCCGGGGCUUAACCCCGGAACUGCUUUGGAGACUGUGCAGCUAGAGUGCAGGAGAGGUAGGUGGAAUUCCUAGUGUAGCGGUGAAAUGCGUAGAUAUUAGGAGGAACACCAGUGGCGAAGGCGGCUUACUGGACUGUAACUGACGUUGAGGCUCGAAAGCGUGGGGAGCAAACAGGAUUAGAUACCCGUGUAGUC